AGAGAGAUGGCGGAGUGGUCGAUCGCGGUGGUCUUGAAAACCAUUGACUGUAACAGGUCCGGGGGUUCGAAUCCCUCUCUCUCUGCCA
rnacentral:tRNA from 1 species